rnacentral:rRNA from 1 species
GACGAACGCUGGCGGCGUGCCUAAUACAUGCAAGUCGAACGCAGUGGGGACGGGUGAGUAACACGUGGGUAACCUCCCAUCAGAGGGGAUAACACUUGGAAACAGGUGCUAAACCGAUACUGAUGGAUGGACCCGCGGUGCAUUAGCUAGUUGGUGGGGUAACGGCUCACCAAGGCCACGAUGCCUAGCCGACCUGGGAGGGGGAUCCGCCACACCUGGACUGGGACACGGCCCCGACUCCUACGGGAGGGAGCCGUAGGGAAUCUUUGGCAAUGGACGAAAGUCUGACCGAGCAACGGCGCGGGAGUGAAGAAGGUUUUCGGAUCGUAAAGCUCUGUUGUUAGAGAAGCGGUAACUACCCAGAAAGGGACGGCUAACUACGUGCCAGCAGCCGCGGUAAUUC